CCCCUUCUCUAUUUCUGAACAGGCGUGUUCCAGACAGCUCACUCGACACCUUAGAUUACUAUGGGUUCGGUAGGGUCCUGAGCCUCAGAGAAGCAGGAAAGCAUAGCCCAAGAAGGGCCUGAACUCAGAAGAAGAAGCAAGAUCUGCUGGGAUUUUUUUCUUUGGUCUUGGUUGUGCGAAGGAGGAAAAAAAGGUUGUGAGGCCCGGUCGAACGCAAGGCAUUGCGAAGGCCCCCUCAGGCGGCGCCGAGGGCAGCCCGGCAGCCGGGGCCUGGUGCAGCCGCCGCGGCCGCUGUCAGGGAAGCGCAGGCGGCCAAUGGAACCCGGGAGCGGACGCUGCUGCUGAGGCGGCGGUGUCGGCAGUCCGACCCCGACCGCCCGCACCCCCUCCGCGGGGGUCCCCCGGAGCUUGGAAGCUCGAAGUCUGGCUGUGGCCAUGGGAGACACGGUAGUGGAGCCUGUCCUCCUGAAGCCAACUUCUGAGCCCAUUCCUGGCCCACCAGGGAAUAAUGGGGGCUCCUUGUUAAGCGUCAUCACGGAGGGGGUCGGGGAACUAUCGGUGAUUGACCCUGAGGUGGCCCAGAAGGCCUGCCAGGAGGUGCUGGAGAAAGUCAAGCUUUUGCAUGGAGGCACGGCUGUUUGUGGCAAAGGCACCCCACUGGAGUUGGUCAAUGGGGAUGGUGUGGACAGUGAGAUCCGUUGCCUGGACGAUCCACCCACCCAGAUAAGGGAGGAGGAAGAUGAGAUGGGGGCCGCAGUGGCCUCCGGCACAGCCAAGGGAACAAGAAGGCGGCGGCAGAACAACUCAGCCAAACAGUCUUGGCUGCUGAGGCUGUUUGAGUCAAAACUGUUUGACAUCUCCAUGGCCAUUUCAUACCUGUAUAACUCCAAGGAGCCUGGGGUGCAAGCCUACAUCGGCAACCGGCUCUUCUGCUUUCGUAAUGAGGACGUGGACUUCUACCUGCCACAGUUGCUUAACAUGUAUAUCCACAUGGAUGAGGACGUGGGUGAUGCCAUCAAGCCCUACAUCGUCCACCGUUGCCGCCAGAGCAUUAACUUUUCCCUCCAGUGUGCCCUGUUGCUUGGGGCCUACUCUUCAGACAUGCACAUUUCCACUCAGCGACACUCCCGUGGGACCAAGCUACGGAAGCUGAUCCUCUCGGAUGAGCUGAAGCCAGCUCACCGAAAGAGGGAGCUGCCCUCCUUGAGCCCAGCCCCCGACACAGGGCUGUCUCCCUCUAAAAGGACUCACCAGCGCUCUAAGUCAGAUGCCACCGCCAGCAUAAGUCUCAGCAGCAACCUGAAACGAACAGCCAGCAACCCUAAAGUGGAGAACGAGGACGAGCCCGUCAGACUGGCUCCUGAGCGGGAAUUCAUCAAGUCCCUGAUGGCGAUUGGCAAGCGGCUGGCCACGCUCCCCACCAAGGAGCAGAAAACCCAGCGACUGAUCUCAGAGCUCUCCCUGCUCAACCAUAAGCUCCCUGCCCGUGUCUGGCUGCCCACUGCUGGCUUUGACCACCACGUGGUCCGCGUGCCCCACACCCAGGCUGUUGUCCUCAACUCUAAGGACAAGGCUCCCUACCUGAUCUAUGUGGAAGUCCUCGAAUGUGAAAACUUCGACACCACCAAUGUCCCCGCCCGGAUCCCCGAGAACCGAAUUCGGAGCACCCGGUCUGUAGAGAAUCUGCCCGAGUGCGGCAUCACCCACGAGCAGCGGGCAGGCAGCUUCAGCACGGUGCCCAACUAUGACAACGAUGACGAGGCCUGGUCCGUGGAUGACAUAGGCGAGCUGCAGGUGGAGCUCCCUGAAAUGCACACCAACAGCUGUGACAACAUCUCCCAGUUCUCCGUGGACAGCAUCACCAGCCAAGAGAGCAAGGAGCCUGUGUUCAUUGCAGCAGGUGACAUCCGACGGCGCCUUUCGGAGCAGCUGGCUCACACCCCCACAGCCUUCAGACGAGACCCAGAAGACCCUUCUGCAGUGGCCCUCAAAGAGCCCUGGCAGGAGAAAGUGCGGCGCAUCAGAGAGGGCUCCCCCUAUGGCCAUCUCCCCAAUUGGCGGCUCCUGUCAGUCAUUGUCAAGUGUGGGGAUGAUCUUCGACAGGAGUUGCUGGCCUUCCAGGUGUUGAAGCAACUGCAGUCCAUUUGGGAACAGGAGCGAGUACCCCUGUGGAUCAAGCCAUACAAGAUUCUUGUGAUUUCGGCUGACAGUGGCAUGAUUGAACCAGUGGUCAACGCUGUGUCCAUCCACCAGGUGAAGAAACAGUCACAGCUCUCCUUGCUCGAUUACUUCCUGCAGGAGCAUGGCAGUUACACCACUGAGGCUUUCCUCAGUGCCCAGCGCAAUUUUGUGCAAAGCUGUGCUGGCUACUGCUUGGUCUGCUACCUGCUGCAAGUCAAGGACAGCUUUGGGUUCGAGGAGGUUGGACCCACCAUUAUAGACACCAAGCCAGGGGUGUCGCUGCUGCCAUGGGGCCAGCGUGUUGCAGCUUGAAGUUCCUUCCUCCCUCGGACUUACUCCUGCCUCUUCUCCUCUGCCGCCUCCUCAGGCACAAUGGCAACAUCCUGUUGGACGCGGAAGGCCACAUCAUCCACAUCGACUUUGGCUUCAUCCUGUCCAGCUCACCUCGAAACUUAGGCUUUGAGACAUCAGCCUUUAAACUCACCACAGAGUUUGUGGAUGUGAUGGGCGGCCUGGAUGGCGACAUGUUCAACUACUACAAGAUGCUGAUGCUGCAGGGGCUGAUUGCUGCUCGGAAACACAUGGAUAAGGUGGUGCAGAUCGUGGAGAUCAUGCAGCAAGGUUCUCAGCUUCCUUGCUUCCAUGGCUCCAGCACCAUCCGCAACCUCAAGGAGAGGUUCCACAUGAGCAUGACGGAGGAGCAGCUGCAGCUGCUGGUGGAGCAGAUGGUGGACGGCAGCAUGCGGUCGAUCACCACCAAACUCUACGACGGCUUCCAGUACCUCACCAACGGCAUCAUGUGACACCCUCCUUCUCUGGCCCCAGAGCAGUGGGGGAGUCAGGGGACCCUCCCUGGGAAGGCCCUUGGAGAAACCCUAAACCAGGACGCCCCACCCACCCACCCAUCCACCGAGGGAAAUGGAAGGCAAGAAGUAUGAAGGAUCAUGUGGUAACUGUGGAGGGUGCCAGGGGAUGGGAGAGCCAGCUGUGGGGGGUCCAGGCGUGCCGGGGCUUCCUGGCACCCCCGCCCCUGCCUGUGUCAGUAUUAUCACCUGACAGACUCCAGGACUCGCUGCCCUCCAGAGAACAGAAGUGAUAAGUGUGAGGACACUGGGGCCUUCUUCUCACCAGGGUCCGAGAGGUUCUUCCCACAGCCAUCCUCUUAAUCUGUUCUGGGUCCCAGGAAGCGGCGAAGAGUAGGUUCUUGGUACUUAGGACUUGAUCCUGUGGUUGGCCUUUGGCCAUGCUGCUGCCCGACUGUCCCUGCCCGGGGACUGGCCCUGGCCCGAGUUCCCCUUGGUAGGUGGGCUCUGGCAUAGGGUCCUGCACUUGCUGAGGAAGGGAAUUAUCACAGCCCCUCCAGUCUGAGGGUACUGGCCCAGCCGCGGGGGAAUUCCUUGCCCUGAUCCCUUCCCCACACCCAGGGAAAUAGCUCUCAAUUUUUUAUUUUUAAUUUUUGUUUGAAAUAAAGUCCUUAGUUAGCCAUCU